rnacentral:sRNA from 1 species
ACUGACUGACGUGACGCUAGUGAAGGC